rnacentral:rRNA from 1 species
CGCAGUCGCGCGACGACCUUCGGGUUACGGAGCGGCGAACGGGUGAGUAACACGUGAAUAAUCUGUCCCUACAUUCCGGAUAAUUGGCCGAAAGGCCUUGUAAUACGGGCGAGGGUCACCGUGGGGCAUCUCAUGGUGAAGGAAGGUGCGACCGUAAGGUUGUGCCGUGCAGGGAGGUGUUCGCGGCCUAUCAGUUAGUUGGUGGGGUAACGGCCUACCAAGACGACGACGGGUAGCUGGUCUGAGAGGAUGGUCAGCCACAUUGGGACUGAGACACUGCCCAGACUCCUACGGGAGGCUGCAGUCGAGAAUCUUGGGCAAUGCACGAAAGUGUGACCCAGCGACGCCGCGUGGAGGAUGAAGGCCCUUGGGUUGUAAACUCCUUUUAGGGGAGAAGAACGCCGCUUCGGCGGCUUGACGGUAUCCCCUGAAUAAGCCACGGCUAACUACGUGCCAGCAGCCGCGGUAAUACGUAGGUGGCAAGCGUUGUCCGGAUUUACUGGGCGUAAAGCGUGUGUAGGCGGACGCUUAAGUAGAAAGUGAAAAGGUUGGUGCUCAACACCAACAUUGCUUUCUAUACUGGGUGUCUUGAGUGCCGGAGAGGAAGAUGGAACUGCACGUGUAGCGGUGAAAUGCGUUGAGAUGUGCAGAACACCAAUGGCGAAUGCAAUCUUCUAGACGGAAACUGACGCUGAGACACGAAAGCCAAGGAGCGAACAGGAUUAGAUACCCUGGUAGUCUUGGCCCUAAACUAUGUUCACUAGUGUUGGGGGUUUCCCUCAGUGCCGCAGCUACGC